ensembl:lncRNA
UUGAAAAAAAAAUUAUAUUGUAAGUACAGUACAAAAAAGUCUGUGUAUAAUUGUAAUGUAAUCUGGACCAAACAGCAAAGAAAUAACAAAAAUAUAAAAACUGCUAAGUCUUGACAAAGUUUCCCUACAGUACCAAAUACCACAAGAUACAGAUUAUACAAAGUGUACAAAUUUUAAUAAAAAUACAAUACACCAGGGUCCUGUGUGUUUUUCACUCUUCAAGAGUUUUCAGUUGUACAGAGGACAAAGCGAAAGUUGAUCCCCUUCUGUUUCUUCAAAAGCAGAUCUACCUCUUCACCAAAAUGCUCUCAACUCUGAAGGGCUGGAAAGAGCUGGUUAUUUUGUGCUGCUCACAACAGCAGAUGCUUUACUAUAGGCUAAGAUCUGAAGCAGGAUUGGACUGCCUCCCUCCUGGGCCCUUCCUGUUUCCAGGCCCAUUGGGAUUUGUCCUAAGCUGUUAAAGCGGGUUCUGGCCUGAUGGUCUGAGAGCCUUCUGUGCCUCCUCUGCUGAGAAAACCCCUCACUGCACUGAGAAAAGAUCUGUAAGAGACAGACUACCUUGUAGAGGCACAUCUGGGGAAUACGCGGCAAAGAUGCAUGGGGAGAAGAACCCUCCACACCCCAGGAUUUAAUUUACUUCUGAUUUGGGGCUCAGCCACAAUGAGGGACAGCUCACUUUCAACUGUCCUAAGAAACAGAAGCUAGAUUUACUUGGAAGUAAAAAAUGCCUCUUCUUUUAUUUUAAAACUUUCCUGUUACAGAGGUGAUAAGGCCUGAGUCAAAUAAUAUUUCAGUUGUUCUGCCCACCUUCACAAGAUAGCCUGUUUCCACAAACUCCUAGAAUCUUCCUGGUGCUUCUUUACACAAUGCCCAUGCUUACUACUAUACAUAGAGUUGAUUCCUGCAGGAAGUGAGCUGAGAAAAAACUUGAUUCACAUUUUUCACGCACUGUUGGCUGAGGGAGGAAUUUUUGCUUUUAAAUUAUGUAUAUAUAUAAAUAUAUAUACACACACACAGAGAAAUAUACAGGAUAAAUUAAAAUCUGUUACAGAUAUUGGUAAAAGUUAAAUACAUGUGAUAUGAACACCACAUACACAUACAUACACACAGACAAAAGCCUAAACAGGAAUCAAGUGUUCUCCUGCUGCUCCUCUUCCAGAGGAGCAGAAAACCAAACUCCAGGUAUGUGGCUGGAAAGAAGGGAAACCGGUCCAAUCAACCCACAUGUGCCUGACUUGGCCGUAACUGCUUCAAACUGGCCACUGGUCACUGCCUUGCAGCAGCACCAAAGCUCCUGCAAUAGUGCUGGUGAGAGAGAUGGGGGACGAGCCAUUUCACAAAACAGGUGCAAUAUGGGCAAGAAGCAAUUCAAGUUUUUCCCAUCUGCUUCUCUACUCCUUUCCAUCAAAGUACGCUGACCAUGCUGCGGAAAAAUCAGCACGAGGUUCAUUUUCUCAAGCCAAUGCAAUGGGUUGAUACAUUGUGCUAAUGAUGAUUUGAGUAUGAGUCCAUAAGGAAAAAAUAAACUUCUUGUCAUCUACUUCACUUCAAAUACCAGAUACCAGACCAGACAGCCGAUAAUAUCAACUUUCAGUUAUUACUGUUUGAGGAGUAGGGGUUGGAGAAAGUGACCAAGAGGCAAAAAGCUAUCCAGCUUUCCCCUCAAGAAGUGUGUUUUAAACAGAAAGAGUUACAGAUAGGGCUGGUGAAGAAUUCAGUUCUAUUCCCUGGUCCAAAAUGUAUCAUCUCUACCUGCCCACAGAAUAUCAGAAUACUUUAGUUUAAGCAGGGAUAUCAGGAGAUCAUCUGGUCCAUCUCCCUUCUUAAAGCAAGUCCAACAAGAGCAGGCUGCUCAUUCCGUUUUUGAAUAUCAUCAAGGAAGGAGAGUCAAGAACCUCUCUGGGCCACCUGUUUCAGUGACCCCUCUCAUGGUGACAGCUUUCUUGUUUAUAUCGGGAAGUCCAUUCUCUGUUUGCUUCCCCCAGUAAAUCUGAAUUUAAGGCAAAUAUCUCAAAAGCUUUCUGAAUUCUUCAUACAAAAUAUUUUCAGAUUGGAGGACAUUUCACCCACCAACACAAAAGGGUUUUCUCAGCUUAACUUCACAACUUUUUAUAAAAUAGAAGUAAAAUAGUUACAAUCCUAUGUAUAUACUGUACAUAU